rnacentral:rRNA from 1 species
AACGCUAGCCACAGGCUUAACACAUGCAAGUCGAGGGGCAUCAGGAAGAAAGCUUGCUUUCUUUGCUGGCGACCGGCGCACGGGUGAGUAACACGUAUCCAACCUGCCCUUUACUCGGGGAUAGCCUUUCGAAAGAAAGAUUAAUACCCGAUAGCAUAAUGAUUCCGCAUGGUUUCAUUAUUAAAGGAUUCCGGUAAAGGAUGGGGAUGCGUUCCAUUAGGUUGUUGGUGGGGUAACGGCCCACCAAGCCUUCGAUGGAUAGGGGUUCUGAGAGGAAGGUCCCCCACAUUGGAACUGAGACACGGUCCAAACUCCUACGGGAGGCAGCAGUGAGGAAUAUUGGUCAAUGGGCGCUAGCCUGAACCAGCCAAGUAGCGUGAAGGAUGAAGGCUCUAUGGGUCGUAAACUUCUUUUAUAUAAGAAUAAAGUGCAGUAUGUAUACUGUUUUGUAUGUAUUAUAUGAAUAAGGAUCGGCUAACUCCGUGCCAGCAGCCGCGGUAAUACGGAGGAUCCGAGCGUUAUCCGGAUUUAUUGGGUUUAAAGGGAGCGUAGGUGGACUGGUAAGUCAGUUGUGAAAGUUUGCGGCUCAACCGUAAAAUUGCAGUUGAUACUGUCAGUCUUGAGUACAGUAGAGGUGGGCGGAAUUCCGUGGUGUAGCGGUGAAAUGCUUAGAUAUCACGAAGAACUCCGAUUGCGAAGGCAGCUCACUGGACUGCAACUGACACUGAUGCUCGAAAGUGUGGGUAUCAAACAGGAU